GAUGAAGAACGUAGCGAAAUGCGAUAAGUAAUGUGAAUUGCAGAAUUCAGUGAAUCAUCGAAUCUUUGAACGCUCAUUGCGCCCGCCAGUAUUCUGGCGGGCAUGCCUGUUCGAGCGUCAUUUCAACCCUCAGGCCCCCAGUGCCUGGUGUUGGGGAUCGGCCCAGCCUUCCUGUAAGGCCGCCGGCCCCGAAAUCUAGUGGCGGUCUCGCUGUAGUCCUCCUCUGCGUAGUAGCACAACCUCGCAGUUGGAACGCGGCGGUGGCCAUGCCGUUAAACACCCCACUUCUGAAAGUUGACCUCGGAUCAGGUAGGAAUACCCGCUGAACUUAAGCAUAUCAAUAAGCGGAGGA
rnacentral:misc_RNA from 1 species